UAGGGAAUCUUCGGCAAUGGACGAAAGUCUGACCGAGCAACGCCGCGUGUGUGAAGAAGGUUUUCGGAUUGUAAAACUCUGUUGUUAGAGAAGAACAAGGACGUGAGUAACUGAACGACACCUGACGGUAUCUAACCAGAAAGCCACGGCUAACUACGUGCCAGCAGCCGCGGUAAUACGUAGGUGGCAAGCGUUGUCCGGAUUUAUUGGGCGUAAAGCGAGCGCAGGCGGUUUCUUAAGUGUGAUGUGAAAGCCCCCGGCUCAACCGCGGAGGGUCAUUGGUAACUGAGAGACAUGAAUGCUGAAGAGGGGAUUGGAAUUCCAUGUGUAGCACUGAAAUGCAUAUAUAUAUGGAGAAACACCAGUGGAGAAAGCGGCUCUCUGGUCUGUAACAGACGCUUUGGCUCGAAGGCGUGGGGGGCCAACAGG
rnacentral:rRNA from 1 species